GAGAUGCUAAGUAUAGACUACUUUGGAUGAUGAUUAUAUAUAUGUUGACAUAUCAUGUGAUGCUAGUAAUAUAUGUGCAUGAUGACAUAUUGUGAAUUAACAUAUUGUGGAUUAUGUUAAAUAGAAACAUAUACAUGAUGACAUAUAUUGCAUAUGAUAGAAGAAUUAUACAUGUUGCCAUAUUGUGGAACAUAGUGGAUGGAUUAUGCAUGUUGAACUUGGUCGAUUAGAGAAAUUGACAUUGGAAAACAAGAACACAUCGAGUGGCAUUAAUGUAGUGUAUUUGACACUAGAGGUUUGAGAA
rnacentral:lncRNA from 1 species